rnacentral:rRNA from 1 species
UACGUAGGUGGCAAGCGUUUGUCCGGAAUCACUGGGCGUAAAGCGCGCGCAGGCGGCGAUCUACGUCUGGGGUGAAAGCCCGGAGCUCAACUCCGGGACUGCCUUGGAUACGGGAUCGCUUGAGGAUUGGAGAGGCAAGGGGAAUUCCACGUGUAGCGGUGAAAUGCGCAGAUAUCAGGAGGAACACCGGUGGCGAAGGCGGGUCUCUGGGCCGAUAUUGACGCUGAGGAGCGAAAGCGUGGGGAGCGAACAGG